rnacentral:rRNA from 1 species
AGCAGCCGCGGUAAUUCCAGCUCCAAUAGCGUAUAUUAAAGUUGUUGCAGUUAAAAAGCUCGUAGUUGAAUUUCGGGAUUGGCGCAUCGGUCGUGCCUCACGGGGUAUGAACUGGUGCAGUCAAUUUCUCACCUUCUGGAGAACCGCGAUGUCCUUAAUUGGAUGCCGCGGGGAACCAGGACCUUUACUUUGAAAAAAUUAGAGUGUUUAAAGCAGGCAUUUUGCUUGAAUACAUUAGCAUGGAAUAAUAAAAUAGGACGGCACGAUUCUAUUUUGUUGGUUUCUAGGAUCACCGUAAUGAUUAAUAGGGAUAGUUGGGGGCAUUAGUAUUCAAUUGUCAGAGGUGAAAUUCUUGGAUUUAUUGAAGACUAACUACUGCGAAAGCAUUUGCCAAGGAUGUUUUCAUUAAUCAAGAACGAAAGUUAGGGGAUCGAAGACGAUCAGAUACCGUCGUAGUCUUAACCAUAAACUAUGCCGACUAGGAAUCAGACGAUGUUAAUUUUUUAAUGACUCGUUUGGCACCUUACG